GAUGAAGAACGCAGCGAAAUGCGAUAACUAAUGUGAAUUGCAGAAUUCAGUGAAUCAUCGAGUCUUUGAACGCACAUUGCGCCCUCUGGUAUUCCGGAGGGCAUGCCUGUCCGAGCGUCAUUGCUGCCCUCCAGCCCGGCUGGUGUGUUGGGCCCCGUCCCCCUUCCCGGGGGGACGGGCCCGAAAGGCAGCGGCGGCACCGCGUCCGGUCCUCGAGCGUAUGGGGCUUUGUCACCCGCUCUUGUAGGCCCGGCCGGCGCCAGCCGACCCCCUCAAUCUAUUUUUCAGGUUGACCUCGGAUCAGGUAGGGAUACCCGCUGAACUUAAGCAUAUCAUAAGCGGAGGA
rnacentral:misc_RNA from 1 species